rnacentral:lncRNA from 1 species
AACAAUGUGUAAUGAUGACUAUCUUGGCAAACACUGUCUAAUGGCCAGCUCCACUGGAAUCUUGGUCUCCAUCUAUCGGAUAUAAGACUCUGGGAGAAUGUUAUAUACAGUGACCACUGAUUGGGGAAUGGC